CCUUAUAUUGUUACUUCCCAAAACUAAAAUAAUAUACAUAGUUAUAUUAUUAUAGAGAAUUUCCAGUUAGUCAAUUCAGGGCAGCAACCCGGACCGGUAAGUUGUAUUCCGACAGUCAUCGGAAGAAGAAGAAAGAUGUUGCGUCCAGUUUCCCAGUU